rnacentral:rRNA from 1 species
UACGUAGGGGACAAGCGUUAUCCGGAUUUACUGGGUGUAAAGGGUACGUAGGCGGUUUGAUAAGUCAGGUGUGAAAGCCCGUAGCUCAACUACGGAUGUGCACUUGAAACUAUCAAACUAGAGUACAGGAGAGGAAAGUGGAAUUCCUAGUGUAGCGGUGAAAUGCGUAGAUAUUAGGAAGAACAUCAGUGGCGAAGGCG